UACGGAGGAUGCAAGCGUUAUCCGGAAUGAUUGGGCGUAAAGCGUCCGCAGGUGGCUGUGUAAGUCUGCUGUUAAAGAGUGAGGCUCAACCUCAUAAAGGCAGUGGAAACUACAUGGCUAGAGUGCGUUCGGGGCAGAGGGAAUUCCUGGUGUAGCGGUGAAAUGCGUAGAGAUCGGCAGGAACACCCAGGGGGAAACCAGUCGACUGGGCAUCUACUGACGCUGAGGUGCGAGAGCGUGGGGAGCGAACCGG
rnacentral:rRNA from 1 species